rnacentral:rRNA from 1 species
AGCAGUCGCCGCGGUAAUACGUAGGUGGCAAGCGUUGUCCGGAAUUAUUGGGCGUAAAGGGCUCGCAGGCGGUCUCUUAAGUCUGAUGUGAAAGCCCCCGGCUCAACCGGGGAGGGUCAUUGGAAACUGGGAAACUUGAGUGCAGAAGAGGAGAGUGGAAUUCCACGUGUAGCGGUGAAAUGCGUAGAGAUGUGGAGGAACACCAGUGGCGAAAGCGGCUCACUGGACCAUUUCUGACGCUGAUGCACGAAAGCUAGGGGAGCAAACAGGAUUAGAUACCCCGUAGUCCCUGUCUCUUAUACA